AUUGAACGCUGGCGGCAGGCCUAACACAUGCAAGUCGAACGAGUGGCGGACGGGUGAGUAAUGUCUGGGAAACUAGCCUAUGGAGGGGGAUAACUACGGGAAACGGUAGCUAAUACCGCAUACCAUCGGAUGAGCCCAGGUGGGAUUAGCUAGUUGGUGGGGUAAAGGCUCACCAAGGCGACGAUCCCUAGCUGGUCUGAGAGGAUGACCAGCCACACUGGAACUGAGACACGGUCCAGACUCCUACGGGAGGCAGCAGUGGGGAAUAUUGCGCAAUGGGGGCAAGCCUGACGCAGCCAUGCCGCGUGAAUGAAGAAGGCCUUCGGGUUGUAAAGUUCUUUCGGUGAGGAGGCGUUACCUGCAGAAGAAGCACCGGCUAACUCCGUGCCAGCAGCCGCGGUAAUAC
rnacentral:rRNA from 1 species